UAUUUAUUGAGCUCCUGCUAUAUAGCAAGCCCUGAAAAUACAACAAGGAAUAUAAUAGAUAAAGUCAUUGCCACCAUUAAAUUAACAUUCUACUUGGAAAAGACACGUAAUGUAUAAGUCAGGCCGAACACGGUAGCUCAUGCCUGUAAUCCCAGCACUUUGGAGGCCACGGCAGGCAGAUCACCUGAGAGAGCUUGACCCUAGCCUGGCCGACAUGGUGAAACCACGUUUCUACUAAAAAUACCAAAAUUAGCUGGGUGAGGUGACACAUGCCUACAGUCCCAGCUACUCGAGAGGCUUGAACCCAAGAGGAUCACUUGAACCCAGGAGGCAGAGGUUGCAGUGAGCCAGGAUUGUGCCACUACACUCCAGCCUGGGUGACAGAGUAAGAGUCCAUCUCUAAAAUAAAUAAAUUAAUUAAAUAAAAAUAUUUUUAAAAAAAUUAAAGAAAAAAAAUAGGGCCAGGAGCAGUGGCUCAUGCCUACAAUCCCAGCACUUUGGGAGGCCGAGGCAGGCAGAUUGCUUGAGCUCAGGAGUUCAAGACUAGUCUGGGCAACAUAGCAAAAUCCCGCCUUUAUAAAAAAAAAAAAAAAUUAGCUGGGUGUGCUGGCGUGAACCUGUAGUCCCAGCAACUCAGGAAGCUGAGAUGGGAGGAUUGCUUGAGCCUAGGAAGAAGGGUUGCAGUAAGCUGAGACCGUGCCACUGCACUCCAGCCUGGGUGACAGUGAGACUCUGUCAAAAAAAAAAAAAAAAAAAAGGCGUGUAAUGUAAAAGUAAACAAAUGCACACAGUAAUUUCAGAUAGCAAAAAUUAUUUUUAAAGCAAUGAAAUGAGAUGUUGUCCUAGUCUGUUUUGUGUUGCUAUGAAGGAAUGCCCGAGUCUGGGUAAUUUACAACUAAAAGAGGUUUAUUUGGCUCAUGGUUCUGCAGGCUGUACAAGAAGCAUGGGUGCUAACAUCUGGUCAGCUUCUGGUAAGAGCUUUUCUGUUGCAUCAAAACAUGGCAGAGAAGUUCCAGUGGGAAGCAGUCAUGUGCAAAGAGGAGCCAAACCUAAGGGAUGUCCUGGCUUACAGCCCACUUUCAUGAGAAUUAAUCCAUUACCUCAAGAACCAAUCCAGUUUCCCGAGAGCAAGAACUCAGUCACUAUCACAAGAACAGCACCAACCCAUUCAUGAAGGAUCCAUCCCCCUGACCCAGACAUCUCCCACUAGGCUCCACCUCCCAACCACCACAUGGGGGAUUAAUUUCAACAUGCAAUUUGGUGGAGACAAACAAACCACAUUCAAACCAUAGCAGAUAGUAAGAUAAAUAGUGACAGGAGAGGGUCUAUUUUAGACUGGAAUUAAAGUGGGGAAAUGGAACUGAUAAAUAGGAAAGAUUUUAGCCAAGAAAGAAUUUGAAUCAUUCCAGUUAAACCCAUUAUGGUCCAUCUACUUGCAUUAAAGCUUCAUGGUGUUGGGCAUUAUACCAGCCUAUAGUCCAGUCAUCUCUUGCUUAGACGGAGAUAGGGGAUUGAACAGGAGGCCAGGGGUUAGGCGGUGCUGUAGUGUAGGCAGCACUACAACUUGCUGAAUAAGAAAAUUGUAGGGGAAUCAGAAUGUCUGAAGGAGAAUUCAUUUUGGGGAGAAGUUGAUUCAUUCCGCUUGAACUUGGUGGUUUUGGUGUAUUCAUGGGAUAGCCAAAUGGAAAUGUCCAGCAGAUCCCAAGGUCAAGCCUGAAAACUUCAGGUCUAGGAGCAUCCUCAGCUCCUUCCUCUCCCUCUACCUCCUCACCCACAUGGACACCCAGUGCUGUGGCAGCUCCCUCUUCUCAAGCCAACUGUGUCCUCAAGCUCCAUCCCACUGCCAUGGCCUAAAAAGCGGCUUGGGAUCCUCGCUGCCUGCAUCUCGGCAGCUGCCACCUUCUCCGAUGUCUCUUGGGGUGUGAGGCAC
rnacentral:lncRNA from 1 species